AUCCCCUCAGGCCCGCUCCUUUUGCCGGUGCGGGCUUGGAUCUGGACGCCUGCGGCCUCUUUUUGGCCGCUCGUCUUUAAACGCAUUAGCCGGUCCCUGCGGCCGACGACGGUGUGAUAACAAACGCUUAGUGCGCCGUUCGUCGCUGGCCCUUGGGGUUGCUUAAAGGUGUCGUCCCUUCACGUC
rnacentral:misc_RNA from 1 species